rnacentral:piRNA from 1 species
UAUACUGGACACCCAGCAGGAGACUUUGCCU